rnacentral:lncRNA from 1 species
UCGUGCAGCAGACAGAUGCUGAGCAGAGCACAGCAGGGCCAGGACGUUCUGACCAGGGGGAGGUGGAGAGUGCACACGAGAUAAGGCACAGCUGCAGGACGGAGCAUGAGACCCAGCACGUGCAACAGCUGCAAGAAAUCCUGCCUGCCUGCCUGUCUGCAUAGAAAAGCACACAAUCAGCCCGAAAGGAACACGUUGGCCAUAGACCUCCUCUGGAAAAACUGCACAGCGGAUGUGUGGUGGAGACUGUGAGCCUGCAGUGCACAGCCAAGGGGGAACCUUGGAAGCCUUCUCCUGUGAAGCACUCUGCUCCUGUAGGCUGUGGUCCACAUCCCCUUAUCCUUCCCAAAUCCUCCCAUGUUCUGAUCCGUGUUCCCCAGUAUCCCCAGUGCCGCCCACUUCACUUUCUGUGACCCACAUCUGUGCCCUACACCUUCUCCAGCUCCUCAUUCCUCACCUGCAGAAGCCAUCCAUGCCACAGCACUGUGAGGUUGUACGGGAUCUGCAGGCAGGUCAGGAAGAGGAGAGGCCAAAGGUGGGCUACGAGGGUCCUGGGAUGGUGAUGGGGUCCUGUCAGGGACCAUGGGGAUCAGUGAGUUCCCAGGGGGGAUCUUGGAGGUGUAAAGGAGGUCUGAGGGAGGAAAUAGGAGGAUUCCGUGGAAGCCCAGUGGGGGACAUGGGGUGCUGCUGGG